UGUUUGUUCACAAAAUUGGGAAAGAGUGUAAAAUAGACGGGAAUAUUUUAUCUUAUCGAUGUGAACAGAGUAUUGUCCGCAACAGGUAGCUGAUUACAGAUGACAUCCUCCUGGGAUAUAGCGCAGACCUAAUGGCAACACGUAAGAUAAUACUUAUUAAUUGUGUAAGAGUGUUUUUUAUUUUAUUUUUUUAUACACACUUAUCAGCCACGGCAUUAAUCCCACUGAAGUGAAUAACGUUGAUUAUAUCGUUACAAUGGCACUUGUCAAGGGCUAAGGAUACCUUAGGCAGCAAGUGAACAGUCAGUUCUUAAAUUUCAUGUGUUUGGAGCAGGAAAAAUG